CCACACCACGUUGAAACACUCAUUCCUGUAAGAUCACCAAAGUUAAGCAACACUGAGCCUAGUCAGUACCUAGAUGGGUGACUCCUUGGGAAUACCAGGUGCUGUAAG